rnacentral:rRNA from 1 species
CCUGACGCAUCCAUGCCGCGUGAGUGAAGAAGGCCUUAGGGUUGUAAAACUCUUUCACUGGGGAAGAUAAUGACGGUAUCCGCAGAAGAAGCUCCGGCCAACUCCGUGCCAGCAGCCGCGGUAAUACGGAGGGGGCAAGCGUUGUUCGGAAUUACUGGGCGUAAAGGGCGCGUAGGCGGUCUAGUCAGUUGGAGGUGAAAUCCCAUAGCUUAACUUUGGAACAGCCUUCAAUACUGCUAUUCUAAAAAGCGAAAGAAGUGAGUGGAAUUUCCUGGGGAGAGGUGGAAUUCGUAGAUAUUGGAAAGAACACCCGAUGCGAAAGGGACUCACUGGGUCGCAUCUGACACUGUAAGGCGAAAGUGUGGGGAGCGAACAAGAUUAGAUACCCUGGGAGUCCACACUGUAAACGAUGGGCACUAUACUGUUGGGCAUAUGCUCGGCGGCGCAGCUAACGCAU